rnacentral:lncRNA from 10 species
GUUAGAGUGAGCCGAGAUCAUGCCACUGCAUUCCAGCCUGGGCGAAAAUGCCACUAAUAUCACUUACAUAAUAUUAAUAUAUAUUUGAAGUAGGGGAAAACCUGGAAGAUUCCUCACCAAAGUUUUGACAGUGACUCCAGAGACUGGGAUAACUUUGUGACUUUCAUUUCCUCUUAAAUGUUGUGCCAGGGUCUGACCGGCAGACCCAGGCUGCACGAUGGAUGAAUAAUGUACUCAGACACCGAUAUUCAGUGAAAGAGUGCACCAGAGGGCCAGGCCACUCACAGAAAGGGUUGUGGCAGCUGCGUGCCCUGACUAUCUGGCCCUGUGGGCCUUUAUUCAGCACAGAUUUAAUGACAAAGGCUUUGAGUCAACACACCUGUGGGUAAUUAAUCUGGUCGCAGUCCCCCGGAGAGAGCAGUCCUACAAAUGAUCAAAGGAGCUGGGACAGUUAUAUUCAUCAGAACAGCACGGUGUCAAGGCCCUCACCCCCAGAAAGCUUAGGAGACACUGUUUUAUGGAGGAGAGUGAGAUUGGAGGAAGCCCUGACUCCAGGUCUCCUGAUCCUUCCUACACAAAGCGAAGCUGAAAAAAAGUGCAGGACACUCCAUUUCCUCCUGGGACCAGACAGGGAAGCCAGAGCCACCAUGGAUGUCAAAUUCCGGCAAGGAAACACCAGUAUAGCAAAAUCUCCACAUCACAUUUUAAAGCUCACACAAUGGCUCAAAGAGAACCCACAUCAAAAAACCGAAUUCCUAGCUCAGGUGAGAUCACCAAAGUUGCCUGUGAGGCUUCGUGGAACCUGCAGGUAGAAAGGACAUCUUUAUUUCGAGCUGCAGCCCAGUUGCUUCUGCGUCUUGGAGCCCCUUGAAAGGACCCUCUCCCUUCAACAGUACAUAGGGAGGCCAUUUCUGGGGAGAAAUGUAGACUGUCCUUAGACUCCUGAGGUUUUUACACUUGCUUGCUGACUCUGUGGACUUUGACUUCAUCAUUAAACAUCUUAUAAUGAUGUAAUUUGCUUUGACUGUAAGUGUAGAACAGGACGCUGUUCCUGAAUCAGGAAACAAGGGACUGGUGACCUGAACUGCCACCACCCUCCCUGGUGCUCAGAUGCAAUGAAAUCGUGAGGCAACAAAUCUAUGGCUAGGUAAAGGGUCAACUCCAUUUCAGCAAAUGUUUCAGAUGUUCCUUCCUGCCUAGUAAUGUUCCAGCUUUACCCCAGCCUUAAUCUUUUAAAAUGUAUAUUUUCCUUAGCGUUGAUUUUAAAGUAAUUCGUAUGUAUUUAUUACACUGGGUUUGUUGCAGUAAGCCACCUCGAAUGUUGCUGUAGAAUUAAAGUAAGCAAAUAAAUGUGUGGUUCUCCAAGGAG